rnacentral:rRNA from 1 species
AGUGAACGCUGGCGGUAGGCCUAACACAUGCAAGUCGAACGGCAGCACAGUAAGAGCUUGCUCUUACCGGUGGCGAGUGGCGGACGGGUGAGGAAUACACCGGAAUCUACUUUUUCGUGGGGGCUAACGUAGGGAAACUUAUGCUAAUACCGCAUACGACCUACGGGUGAAAGCAGUGGAUCUUCGGACCUUGCGCGAUUGACUGAGCCGAUGUCGGAUUAGCUAGUUGGCGGGGUAAAGGCCCACCAAGGCGACGAUCCGUAGCUGGUCUGAGAGGAUGAUCAGCCACACUGGAACUGAGACACGGUCCAGACUCCUACGGGAGGCAGCAGUGGGGAAUAUUGGACAAUGGGCGCAAGCCUGAUCCAGCAAUGCCGCGUGUGUGAAGAAGGCCUUCGGGUUGUAAAGCCCUUUUGUUGGGAAAGAAAAGCAGCAGGUUAAUACCGCGCUGUUCUGACGGUACCCAAAGAAUAAGCACCGGCUAACUUCGUG